rnacentral:rRNA from 1 species
GACAGAGGUGCCAAGCGUUAGGCGGAAUCACUGGGCUUAAAGCGUGUGUAGGCGGGUCGUUAAGUACCUUGUGAAAUCCCACGGCUCAACCGUGGAACUGCUUGGUAUACUGGCGAUCUUGAGCCAGCUAGGGGCUACCGGAACAAACGGUGGAGCGGUGAAAUGCGUAGAUAUCGUUUGGAACGCCAAUGGUGAAAACAGGUAGCUGGGGCUGUGCUGACGCUGGAGACACGAAAGCCAGGGGAGCGAACGGG